GACGAACGCUGGCGGCGUGCUUAACACAUGCAAGUCGAACGGAAAGGCCCUGCUUUUGUGGGGUGCUCGAGUGGCGAACGGGUGUGUAACGCGUGAGUAACCCGCCCUUGACUUUGGGAUAACUUCAGGACACUGGGGCUAACAUCGGAUAGGAGCACCUGCUGCACGGUGGGGGAUGGAAACUUUCGGCGGUUGGGGAUGGACUCGCGGCUUAUCAGCUUGUUGGUGGGGUAGCGGCUUACCAAGGCUGUGACGGGUAGCCGGCCUGAGAGGGUGACCGGCCAAAUUGGGAAUGAGGACCCGGCCAGAAUCCUUAGGGGAGGAGGCGGUGGGGAUAUUGCGACAUGGGAGGGAGCGUGAUACAGAGCCACCGCGUGCGGAAUAACGGCCUUCGCGGUAUAUAACGCGUUCGCCUGUGACGAGAAGCGAGUGACGGUAAUGAGUGAAGAAGCAACGGCUAACUACGUG
rnacentral:rRNA from 1 species